AUGGGAUCCAUCAUUCAUGGGAAUGGGGAAUGUCUUUUCCUGAUAAUGAUCCCAACAAAUCGGCAACAACGACAACUGCAAUAUGGUCCUUCUCCCGGUCAGUUCCAAGGUGGGUCUCAUUUUCAAGGGUAUGGGGAAGGGCAAUCAAGCACCUGCCGCCGGAAUUCCCAAAACCCUCAACAGAAAAUGAAGAACAAGAGCUUCGAUUCUCAGAAGGAGCAACAGGGGAAGUCAAGAAGUGUUGAUGAAGCAGGCAGUGGUCAAAAUAGGAAAGAGGGGGCUGUCAUCAAUUAUGAUAAAAAAAAGAGGAAGGAUGUGAUGUGUUACAACUAUGGAGAGCCGGCUCACUUUGUUGGGACUUGUCCAUUGCCCAAAAAUCGUUUCAUUUGUCACAAGUCUGGGCAUCACAUGGACAAUUGUGUGGAAUGGUACAAACCUCAAGUUGUUGCCCAAUACUAUGGCAGUGCCAAUGCUGGACUGGGCUUCUUCCACAUUGAGUCUGGACACAAGGAUGCUGUUAAGUGGCUUAACCUGUCUAAUGUGUGUGUUGCUGUGAUUGAGGAAUGUUCUAUCUCUACUCGAGAACUGAAGCGAAACUUCUCUGAAAUCGGGAAGACUAACUGGCCAUGGCAGGUGAGACAGCUGACUGAAAAAAUGCUUCCUGGUCAGGCUUCCACCGGAUAA
rnacentral:rRNA from 1 species